rnacentral:rRNA from 1 species
GACGAACGCUGGCGGCGUGCUUAACACAUGCAAGUCGAACGAGAAAGCACCUUCGGGUGUGAGUACAGUGGCGAACGGGUGAGUAACACGUGGGCAACCUGCCCUAGAGACUGGGAUAACGUCCCGAAAGGGACGCUAAUACCGGAUGAUGCGCGAUCUGCCAAGUAGGUCGCGCCAAAGUGUAGCUUCGGGUUCUGCUCUGUGAUGGGCCCGCGCCGGAUUAGCUUGUUGGUGGGGUAAUGGCCUACCAAGGCGACGAUCCGUAGCUGGUCUGAGAGGACGAUCAGCCACACUGGGACUGAGACACGGCCCAGACUCCUACGGGAGGCAGCAGUGGGGAAUCUUGCGCAAUGGGCGAAAGCCUGACGCAGCAACGCCGCGUGAGCGAAGACGGCCUUCGGGUUGUAAAGCUCUGUCAGGAGGGACGAAGCCACUCAGGUGAAUAGCCGAGAGGGUGACGGUACCUCCAGAGGAAGCCCCGGCUAACUACGUGCCAGCCGCCGCGGUAAGAC